rnacentral:misc_RNA from 1 species
CGCUUAUUUUUCACUUUACGGGGCUUGCCAGUGGGCUUCCAGUAUCCCGCCUUGGUUGUUCUAUUCGAACGACGACUACCUGAAUACUUAUAAUCACGGGGACAAAAGAAAUACCACACUUGAUCCUCUGAACUGGUGUGAACUAAACCGGGUAGAUCCCACGGCUCAACAGCACAAACUUUUGUCUCCGUGAUUGGUGAGUCAUCAUCGUUACAAUCGUUUAUCUUUUUCUUCAAAAAA